rnacentral:tRNA from 1 species
GGGGCGAUGGCGCAGUUGGUUAGCGCGUCGGUCUCAUAAUCCAGAGGUCGAGAGUCCGAGCCUCUCUCGCCCCA